ACAUACUAAGAACUUUCCAGAGAUGGAUUGGUGCCCUUCGGGAACUUAGAUACAGGUGCUGCAUGGCUGUCGUCAGCUCGUGUCGUGAGAUGUUGGGUUAAGUCCCGCAACGAGCGCAACCCUUUUCCUUAUUUGCCAGCGGGUAAUGCCGGGAACUUUAAGGAUACUGCCAGUGACAAACUGGAGGAAGGCGGGGACGACGUCAAGUCAUCAUGGCCCUUACGGCCAGGGCUACACACGUGCUACAAUGGUCGGUACAAAGGGUUGCUACCUCGCGAGAGGAUGCUAAUCUCAAAAAGCCGAUCGUAGUCCGGAUCGCAGUCUGCAACUCGACUGCGUGAAGUCGGAAUCGCUAGUAAUCGCGGAUCAGAAUGCCGCGGUGAAUACGUUCCCGGGCCUUGUACACACCGCCCGUCACACCAUGGGAGUUUGUUGCACCAGAAGUAGGUAGUCUAACCGCAAGGAGGACGCUUACCACGGUGUGGCCGAUGACUGGGGUGAAGUCGUAACAAGGUAGGCGUAGAUGA
rnacentral:rRNA from 1 species